rnacentral:rRNA from 1 species
AUGCUUCGGGCUGUUUUGAAGAAUAAUAAGAAAAUGUGGGAGGAAUGCUUGCCUCAUAUUGAAUUUGCUUAUAAUCGUUCAUUGCAUUCUACUACUAAGAUGUGCCCUUUUGAAGUUGUGUAUGGUUUCCUACCUCGUGCACCUAUUGAUUUGUUGCCUCUUCCAUCUUCGGAGAAGGUUAAUUUUGAUGCUAAACAACGUGCUGAAUUGAUUUUAAAAAUGCAUGAGUUAACUAAGGAAAACAUUGAGCGUAUGAAUGCUAAAUAUAAACUUGCUGGAGAUAAGGGUAGAAAACAUGUUGUGUUUGCACCUGGAGAUCUUGUUUGGUUACAUUUGCGUAAGGAUAGAUUUCCUGAUUUGCGCAAAUCAAAGUUAAUGCCAUGUGCGGAUGGUCCCUUUAAAGUGUUAGAGAAAAUAAAUGAUAAUGCAUAUAAACUUGAGCUGCCUGCAGAUUUUGGGGUUAGUCCCACUUUUAACAUUGCAGAUUUGAAGCCUUAUUUGGGUGAGGAAGAUGAACUUCCGUCGAGGACGACUUUAUUUCAAGAAGGGGAGGAUGAUGAGGACAUCAAUACAAUUGUUACACCCACAGCCCCUGCUGCUAUAAAUACUGGACCAAUUACUAGAGCUCGCGCACGCCAACUAAAUUACCAGGUACUUUCGUUUCUUGGUAAUGAUUCUAAUGUUCAUGAGAAUAUGAUGCUGCCUAAAUUGGAUACAUUUGUUUUGCUUACAAAUGAAGGGCCGAGCUUGGAGAAGGAUGAACAUUGGAUUAAGAACAAGCAUGGAGAUGAUGGCAUGCGCAAGGGGAACAAGAACGGAGUUACAAGUGAUGAUUUCAGGACUAUGAAGCCACCAUAA